AGAAUGCCGACCCUUCACAAUUUUACCCUUGCCCAUCAGUAUGAGAUUAAUGUCUUCAAGCUAGAAAUAAGGGAGUCAUAGCCAACACAACACUAAUUGUCAGAUUUGAUUCACUCAAGUCAGAAGUCUUACCUAGCAUUAUGCUUUACUAAUAAUUUCCAAGAUACAAUCAAGAGGCAUUGGCAGAGAUGUCAAGAGAAGCUCUCCAGAUCUUACCUUCCUUUAUUAGACAGCCACCCACUCACUGGUCCGGAAUUGAUCUAAUGGCUUCCAGGUUCGGGUGUGUCAGAGUUAUGUGAUC